CAAACUUUUUCCCUCUUUUCUUACACGCCCAAACCCAACCCCCAAAAGAAAACCGCUAAUCUUGGAUCGAAAAACGCUUCUUUCAAUUGGAAGAAUGAAGAAAAUUGCUCACCAUCUGCGCCAUCUCCUCCAAUUACCCAUGUUGGAGUAAACUUCUUCACAGUAAAAAUACAGCCCGUCUCCUCCGUUAUCAUCGAUUUCUCGUCUAAGAAUUUCCUUUUCAUCAAGUUUAUAUGCAUUGAGUAUCGCAAUCAGCUCAUAUCAAGAAGUGAAGGUGAAGAAGGCAGAAGUUGCUCAAUAUUCCCAGGAGGCACAAGUUGCUAGAAUUUCUUUGCAGUCGAUGCUCAACAAUCCCAGGAGAUCAAGAAUUUGAAGAAAUGAAGCUAUCUUGAAGAUAGUGUAGAGCGAGUUGAAGGAGAUGAGAAAUGUUAAAGAACAAAUUGAAGUACAAGAGGAACCCACUUUGUUUUGCGAGGAAUUUUUAAAGAUGUUGUUUGUAUAUGCUAUAGUUCUAUUUUUUCUUUUUUUAGGAGUUGAAUAAAAUAAUGUCAGUAAUAUUUAGAUAAGUAUAUUUUUGGUAAUGUGAUAUUCUAAUUCUUUGUAAUCAACAAUGAUGUUUAUAUGAGUACUGACUUUUUGUAUGUGUUUGGA